rnacentral:rRNA from 1 species
UACGUAGGCAGCAAGCGUUGUUCGGAAUUACUGGGCGUAAAGAGUGUGUAGGCGGUGCUCUAAGUCUGUCGUGAAAUCUCCCGGCUUAACUGGGAGGGUGCGGCGGAAACUGGAAUGCUAGAGGGUGGGAGAGGAAAGCGGAAUUCCUGGUGUAGCGGUGAAAUGCGUAGAUAUCAGGAGGAACACCUGCGGCGAAGGCGGGUUGCUGGGCUGACACUGACGCUGAUGCGCGAAAGCCAGGGGAGCGAACGGG